AACGCUGGCGGCGUGCUUCAGGCAUGCAAGUCGAACGGACCUUCGGGUCAGUGGCGGACGGGUGAGUAACACGUAAGCAACCUGCCCAGAAGUGGGGAAUAACCCACCGAAAGGUGAGCUAAUACCGCAUGUGAUGGCCCUUCCCUGGAGGGGCCAUUAAAGGCUUCGGCCGCUUCUGGAGGGGCUUGCGCUCGAUUAGCUAGUUGGUGGGGUAACGGCCUACCAAGGCAACGAUCGAUAGCUGGUCUGAGAGGAUGGUCAGCCACACGGGGACUGAGAUACGGCCCCGACUCCUACGGGAGGCAGCAGCUAGGAAUCUUGGGAAUGGGCGAAAGCCUGACCCAGCAACGCCGCGUGGGCGAUGAAGGCCUUCGGGUCGUAAAGCCCUUUUGUGGGGGAAGAUGAUGACGGUACCCCACGAAUAAGCCACGGCUAACUACGUGCCAGCAGCCGCGGUAAUACGUAGGUGGCGAGCGUUGUCCGGAUUUACUGGGCGUAAAGGGCGUGCAGGCGGUUUGCUAAGUUUAGGGUGAAAGCUCCCGGCUCAACUGGGAGAGGUCCUUGGAUACUGGCAGACUUGAGGGAGGUAGAGGAAAGUGGAAUUCCCGGUGUAGUGGUGAUAUGCGUAGAUAUCGGGAGGAACACCAGUGGCGAAGGCGGCUUUCUGGGCCUUUCCUGACGCUGAGACGCGAAAGCGUGGGGAGCGAACCGGAUUAGAUACCCGGGUAGUCCACGCUGUAAACGAUGAACACUAGGUGUGGGGGGUAUCGACCCCCUCCGUGCCACAGCUAACGCAAUAAGUGUUCCGCCUGGGGAGUACGGCCGCAAGGCUAAAACUCAAAGGAAUUGACGGGGGCCCGCACAAGCAGCGGAGCGUGCGGUUUAAUUCGUCGCAACGCGAAGAACCUUACCAAGGCUUGACAUGCUAGUGGUACCGAUCCGAAAGGUGAGGGACCCUUCGGGGAGCUAGCACAGGUGGUGCAUGGCUGUCGUCAGCUCGUGUCGUGAGAUGUUGGGUUAAGGCCCGCAACGAGCGCAACCCUUAUCCUAUGUUGCCAGCGGUUCGGCCGGGGACGCAUUAGGAGACUGCCGGGGAUAACUCGGAGGAAGGUGAGGACGACGUCAAGUCAUCAUGCCCCUUAUAUCCAGGGCUGCACGCAUGCUACAAUGGUCGGUACAACGGGCAGCGAUCUCGUGAGAGUGAGCGAAUCCCUUAAAGCCGGCCCCAGUUCGGAUUGAAGUCUGCAACUCGACUUCAUGAAGCCGGAGUCGCUAGUAAUCGCGGAUCAGCUAAGCCGCGGUGAAUACGUUCUCGGGGAUUGUACACACCGCCCGUCAAGUCACGGAAAUCGGCAAUACCCAAAGUCAGUGGCCUAACCCUUCGGGGAGGGAGCUGCCUAAGGUGGGGUCGGUAACUGGGACUAAGUCGUAACAAGGUAAC
rnacentral:rRNA from 1 species